UACAGAGGUCUCAAGCGUUGUUCGGAUUCAUUGGGCGUAAAGGGUGCGUAGGCGGCGCGGUAAGUCGGGUGUGAAAUUCGCGGCUUAACUCCGAAACUGCAUUCGAUACUGCGUGCUUGAGGACUGGAGAGGAGACUGGAAUUAGGUGUAGCGUGAAAUGCGUAGAGUAUCAUGAGGAAGACCAGUGGCGAAGGCGGGUCUCUGGACAGUUCCUGACACUGAGACACGAAGGCCAGGGGAGCAAACGGG
rnacentral:rRNA from 1 species